GGGUGGUCUUGAAAGGAGCGACUCUGGUUGCGAUCCGGCCGAGCGAGCAGCCCAAGAAGGAGGUGGCGGGAUCGGAGGCAAAUUGGGUUGCAUCGGCAUUUGAGGAGCCAUUUGGGACUGCUGCAAGGAUGUUGGUGAAGAGGAGGACCUACUGCCUCGAAAUGAACUCUUUCUGAAGGAGGGGCCUUGUUUGAGAUGAUGAGACAGAUGCAUGAGGUACUUCCCUUUUUUAUGAUGUGGUUGAAUGCUAGGAGUAUAUUGUAUUCUCUGUUUUCUGUUGCUUUUUUCCCAUUCCCUUCGAAGUUAUAUUAUCAAUUAUCUUGUUUAUUGUCUCUUGUUAGUUUAUUCUUGUUAAUGUUUCAAUGAUAGUAAACCGCUCUGUGUAGGUUUCUGAAAAUCAUGGGUGUCAUAUUCUUGAUUAAUAAGUUCUGUUACCAAUUGCAUAUGGUUUUGCACUAAAUUACACAUUGGAUCCCCUAUUACAUAAGAGAGGUGCUUGAAGUAUGUCUUAAUCUAAAUAGUUUUGCCAGUCUGGUUCCAAUAAUUUCCUGAUAUUAGAGAUAUUAUCUUGCAUUCUGCCAUAUUUCAUGCUAUUUUCUUGGUUCUUCAUCUGUUUUGAAAUUUGAUUGUUUACAAAUGAAGAUGCUUGUUGUAAUACUGUUUCAUUGGUUCUGCAUCUUAUCAAUUGAGGUUGGAAGGGCACCGUCUAUCUCCAUUUCUAGAAAGCUAGGUGAAAUUUUCGUUCCGUUGUGAUGCAUCUGUCAUCUGGCUGGGACAUUGUGAAUGCGUUGUGAUUGUGAUUAUGGCAAACCAAUACGAAGUUGAAUGACUUAAGAGUUCUGCCAUGAUAACCUUUUAAUGUCUUCCAUUUCUCAAUUAACGUUGUAAGCUUGUUAUUAUUCAUGCCUAAGCUGCUAUGCCCAACCACUUUCUCUGUUCACGGAUUUCGCGUUUGCACUCUAGUUUUUGGGGAAUUCUGUGCUGCCACUGCGAUAUUGUCAUCUCUUAUAAGCUCUUCUUUCUUUAAAUACUGAUCUUUUUCUCCCUAAUCUAUUGGUAAUUCUGAUUUCUUUGUUCUAUACAAGGAUCUUUCAGGUAGAGUGUGGCAACGGAAGGUCCCAAAAGCGCAGAGCACGAAUUUUGUCUUGAGCAGAGCAAGCUGCAAGCCAGUUGCCGGCCAAGUUCAUACGGCUUCCGGUUACGACGUUGGUGGUUGAUGAAGAGCCUGCAAUUGAUGAUCAAACUGCUUUCAUUUUGAAUACUUUAAAGAGGGGGGGUGCUAUGCAACUGGAUAAUCAUGUUGUAAGAGUUAUGAGAUUUUGAUAAUCUGUCUGUGUUAGUUAUAUGUAUAUGUGAAUAUUGUAGGUAUGAUAUGACCAUCUAUGCUUAUCUGCUCUCCUUUUUCUGAAAGGUUCAGCUGCAUAUUAUAUUUUAGCUGAUUUACCCACCAAUAAAUGUCAAAACGCCUCUUCAUUUCUAUUAAUCAAGGAUAUUUUGUAGUUCAAUCUUCAUUUGUUUAUUUCUGCUAGGGUAGCAAAAUGAUUUUAUUUACUCAAUUCUUCGAUAUUUUUUCUAUGGUAUUAUCCUUUGAUUGUGACUGCCAUUUUCUCCACACCCUUCUAUUCUUCAUCAAUCAUCACUGCGCUAUAUAAUUAAAAGGACUAUAAAACAAAAUGAACAUAUAAAAAUAGUUGAUAUUAUAUGCAAAACCCUACUAUUCUUUUUACGGAGACUACGAAGUCAAAAAACAUAAUUAAUUUUGAAAAAUUAUAGUACUCUUUUCAGUAUACAAAAAAUUUGUCAUAUAUAUAUUUUUUCCGAUCUGUUCACGAAAACAUGUUAUUUAUAUUUAUAAUAGUAGAGUUCACACAACUUCACACACAUUAAAAUUGAGACUCUAGCUCUAUUAAAAAUUUUAUUCGCAUUUUAUUAAAAUUUAUGCUAUCUAUAAUGUGACAAUUUUUUUUGUGGACAGAUGAAUAGGUGUAACAAACGGAUUAUGUAAUUACUACUCCCCGUCCACGAAAAAUAAAAAUACUAGUUUCUUUUUAUUAUUUUGGGGUAUCCACGAAAAUUGAUCUCUAUACAUUAUUGAAAACUUUCUAUCAAGUGGUGAACUAUUUUCGCUACUCACAAUACAAUUAAUUAUCAUUAUUAAUAUUAUUUUUUUAAAUGAGACUCCUCUAUUUGUGAUACACUCAAUUAUUUUUAUUAAAAUUUGUGUCAUCCUCUUCUAUGACUAUUUUUUUGUGGACAAAUAGAUUAUUUGUGAGUAUAUUUUGGUAAAAAAAAAACGGUUGAAAACUUGAAAUCACACAUGUAUGAAUCAUUGAAUUGGAUCCUCUUCUUCAAUAUCAAUUCAGUGAAAUCUUGGAGACUCGAAUUAUUAGUGUUAGUAGGUAAAAAUGCCCACUUUGUUAAGUGUAAAAUUAAAAAUCUCACUUUUUAUAAAAACUUGAUCAUAUGCCCAAAUUAAAGUGAUGAAUCGAAAUUAUCCUUGGAUGUUGAUGAUUUUGCAUCAACUUUUGUGUAACUUUUUCUGAUACAAAUACAAAUAUUUAAGAAAAAUAUAAGAAAAAGUAGUCUGCUGUCGGAAAAGUAGGUUGUCACUCGAGCGGCAACCUACUUAGUGAGGUUGCCGCUCGUACGACAAGCUACUUUUUUGACCGGUAAGCUACAUUUUUAAUUGAAAAUUUUAAUUUGUUACAAGAAAAAGUAGGUUGCCGCUCGGGAGGCAACCUACUUAGUGAGGUUGCCAAUCGAGCGACAACCUACUUUUCCGACAACUGACUACUCCCUCCGUCCGCCAAAAAUAUGACACUUUGGCUGGGCACGAGAUUUAAUAAAAUUGGUAAUAAUGUUGAUGUAGUGGAGAAAUGGUCUCACAAUUUUAUGAGAUGUGUGGUUGAAAUUGAAUUUGAGGUGAAUUUUUUGUAAAUAAAGAGUGUUUGUAAGGAUAAAAUAUAAAAAUGGAUGGUGGGACCAUUGCCUUAAAAGGAAAGUUGUAUAAUCUUUGCGGACGCCCAAUAUAGUAAUUGUGUCAUACUUUUGGCGGACAUAUGAGAUAUUUUUUAUCUUACAAGUACACUGAUUGAGACAUGAAGGGUAGUUUAGGUAUUUUGAGUAUAUGAUUAAGUUUUUAUAAUAUGUGGAUAUUUUUAAUUUUUGACUUAACCAAAUAGGCAUAAAAAAUUCCGCCUCCGAAUUAUUAGUUACUAGAAAAUUAAAAGAGAAGAAAAGAAAAAAGAAGAAAAGAAAAUACUAGUAUAAUAUAGAAAAAAUACAGUAUAAAAAUAAAACGGAACGACAGGCAGCAAUGUCGUUUGGGAAUUCAACUGUCCCAGGCUCCGCAUAUCUACUGUCAUAGGCUCAUAGCCAUAGGCACUUAAAAAGCAAAGAAAAAAAAGAAAGAAAAAAACGAGAAGAAAGAAAAACACGCACAACACACACCACACCACCAUUUUCCUCUUCCUCCUCCUUCACUCACUUCUCCCAAAUUCCCCCCACCUCAUUAAACUCCCACCCUAAUUCCACAAAUCCAAACUCUCUCCCUCUCUCUCUCAGAUCCAUUGAGUUUGUUUGACUCAAUUUCUUCCUUCACAUCUUUCUACCUAAACUCGCUUGAAAUCACCUUCCGAUUCUCGUGUAUCUGGUGCCAACUUGUUGGGGGUGUUUUGGCUCAAGAGCUCGAAUUGUCGCUGAAAGCUAUGGCUUCGAUUGGAGCAGAUCUGUGCCGCAAAAUCUACCCCGAGCCGGUCGACCACUUCGAUCGGUUGCCGGACUCUCUCAUCCUCUUGAUCUUCAAUAAAAUCGGAGACGUGAAGGCGCUGGGCCGAUGCUGCGUCGUUUCGAGGCGGUUCCACUCGCUCGUUCCCCAAGUCGACAACGUCGUAGUCCGCGUCGACUGCGUCAUCUCCGAUGACGAUCCUUCCUCCAACUCUUCUUCGUCCGCAUCCGGUUCCGCCGCCGGCGACAAGUCGCGCCACCCUAUCUCCUCCCUCUUCCGCAUCUUCUUCUCCGGGAUCUUCAAACCCUUGCAGUCCCUGUCUCAGCUCAUCACCCCCUCGGCGCGCCGGCUUCCUCUUUCGGAGGUAUUUCGACUGCGAAGCGGAGCAGAGCACCGUCACACACCAUUCGCCGACGCAGGUCUUGAAGAAUUCAACGAGAUCAAGCUGCUCAGGAUAGAGCCUCCCCGACGGGGGAGCUGGGGAUUGAUGAAGGCGUUUUGCUCAAAUGGAAGCGGAAUUCGGCUCCACGCUUGACAGCUGCGUGAUUCUCGGAGCUUCGAGCGUCGUGCAGAGUGCAAAUAGCGGCUACAAUUGCCUGGGCGCUUGCAAUACCGCAAUUGGUGGUGAUAGUGGAGUGGAGAACGAUAAUGGUAGCAUACCGGAAUCGUUCUACACCAACGGAGGCCUGAAGCUGCGCGUUGUGUGGACCAUCAGCUCGUUGAUCGCCGCCUCCGCCAGGCAUUACCUUCUGCAGCCUAUAAUAGCGGAGCACAAGACGCUCUCGAGCUUGGUUUUGACGGAUGCUGAUGGGCAAGGGGUGCUGUCUAUGAAUAAGGAGCAGCUGGAGGAGCUGAGGGUGAAGCCUCUGUCAGCGUCGUCGGCUUCGAAGAGGACUCUUGUUCCGGCUCUCAACAUGCGUUUGUGGUAUGCUCCUCAUCUCGAGUUGCCUAACGGGGUGGUCUUGAAAGGAGCGACUCUGGUUGCGAUCCGGCCGAGCGAGCAGCCCAAGAAGGAGGUGGCGGGAUCGGAGGCAAAUUGGGUUGCAUCGGCGUUUGAGGAGCCAUUUGGGACUGCUGCAAGGAUGUUGGUGAAGAGGAGGACCUACUGCCUCGAAAUGAACUCUUUCUGAAGGAGGUGGCUUAUCUAAGGAUGAAGAGACAGAUGCAUGAGGUAUUUUCUCUUUUUUCUCUUUUUUUACAGAAUCCUUUAAUAAGUUUUGAUUGUUUCGGAGAUCUGUGGUUGAAUGCUAGCUAGUAUAUUGUAAUUCUUCAUUCUGUUGCUUUUUAUCUUAGGUUCGAAGUUGAAUUGUCUCUUGUUUGUUUAUUCUUAUUGCUGUUUCAAUGAUAAUAAAUUACUCUGUCUUGGUUUCUGAAAAUCAUGAGCAAUUUCUCAUACCAAUUGCUUCUGAUUUUUCCCUAAAUUGCAUAUUGGAUUCCCAAUUACAUAAGAGGGGUGCUUGAAGCUAUUGACUCCCUUUGCAUCUGUCUUAUUCCAAAGAGUUUUUCCACUCUGAUUCCAAUUGCGUCCUGAUUUUGGAUCCACUAUGUUGUUAUCUUGCAGUCUGUCACAUUCCCUUCAAUUUUGUUGGUUCAUAAUUUUUUUACUCCAAAUGAAGAAGAAUCAGAAGAUGCUUGUUGUGAACUACUUGAUCUGUUCUUUAUCUUAUCUAAUGGGAAUUGAAGGGCACUGUGUAUCUCCAUUGCUAGAAAGAUUGGUGGAAAUUUCAUUCUGCUAUGAUGCAUCUGUUUGGUUUUUAUACUCCUUACGUUUCUCAGUUAACCAUUUUAUAUCUAAGCUGUUGUGAGAGUGACUCUUGACCAGUUUCCUGUUUGAAUACUAGUUUUUGGGAAAUUCUGUGCUGCAACUGCGACAUCACCAUCUGUUUUAAGCUUUGAUUUCUUGAAUCCGUUUUAUAUCAGUGAUCCUGACUUCCUUAUUCAAGUAUCUUUCAGGUAAGCGAAGGUAAGGUCCCAAAAUCGCAGAGUGCAAAUUUUGUCUUGAGCAGAGCAAGCUGCAAGCGAGUUGCCGGCAAN
rnacentral:lncRNA from 1 species